ACUUCCUGAGCCGGAACGAGAAGCUUUUUUUGGAAUGCGUGUUCCAUCAAGCUUUUGGCUUACGGUUGUGAUGUUGUGUUGUUGUGUUGUUGUGUUUGCAAUUGGUCUGUUUUUGCAGACCCUGGUAGCAAAGCUACCCCUUUUCACUUCCUGUACA
rnacentral:sRNA from 1 species